AGAGUUUGAUCAUGGCUCAGGAUGAACGCUAGCUACAGGCUUAACACAUGCAAGUCGAGGGGAAACGACAUCGAAAGCUUGCUUUUGAUGGGCGUCGACCGGCGCACGGGUGAGUAACGCGUAUCCAACCUGCCCAUCACCUGGGGAUAACCUUGCGAAAGUAAGACUAAUACCCAAUGACGUCUCUAGAAGACAUCUGAAAGAGAUUAAAGAUUUAUCGGUGAUGGAUGGGGAUGCGUCUGAUUAGCUUGUUGGCGGGUAACGGCCACCAAGGCGACGAUCAGUAGGGGUUCUGAGAGGAAGGUCCCCCANAUUGGAACUGAGACACGGUCCAAACUCCUACGGGAGGCA
rnacentral:rRNA from 1 species